AACCCCUAUACCCAUUUAACCUCUUAGGCCUAUAUACUUGGUUUUAGGUUGGGGCGACCACGGAGUAAAACCAAACCUCCAUGAUGUACGGAACAACCUCCUUAUCUAAGAGCCACAGCUCUAAGAAUUAGCACACUAUCAUAAAAUGACCCAUUAUUGAUCAACGAACCAAGUUACCCUGGGGAUAACAGCGCAAUCCAUUUUAAGAGCCCCUAUCGACAAAUGGGUUUACGACCUCGAUGUUGGAUCAGGAUAUCCCAGUGGUGCAGCAACUACUAAAGGUUCGUUUGUUCAACGAUCAAAAUCCU
rnacentral:rRNA from 1 species